rnacentral:rRNA from 1 species
AUAAUGGGUCAGCGACUUAUAUUCUGUAGCAAGGUUAACCGAAUAGGGGAGCCGAAGGGAAACCGAGUCUUAACUGGGCGUUAAGUUGCAGGGUAUAGACCCGAAACCCGGUGAUCUAGCCAUGGGCAGGUUGAAGGUUGGGUAACACUAACUGGAGGACCGAACCGACUAAUGUUGAAAAAUUAGCGGAUGACUUGUGGCUGGGGGUGAAAGGCCAAUCAAACCGGGAGAUAGCUGGUUCUCCCCGAAAGCUAUUUAGGUAGCGCCUCGUGAAUUCAUCUCCGGGGGUAGAGCACUGUUUCGGCAAGGGGGUCAUCCCGACUUACCAACCCGAUGCAAACUGCGAAUACCGGAGAAUGUUAUCACGGGAGACACACGGCGGGUGCUAACGUCCGUCGUGAAGAGGGAAACAACCCAGACCGCCAGCUAAGGUCCCAAAGUCAUGGUUAAGUGGGAAACGAUGUGGGAAGGCCCAGACAGCCAGGAUGUUGGCUUAGAAGCAGCCAUCAUUUAAAGAAAGCGUAAUAGCUCACUGGUCGAGUCGGCCUGCGCGGAAGAUGUAACGGGGCUAAACCAU